rnacentral:rRNA from 1 species
UACGAAGGGGGGCUAGCGUUGCUCGGAAUCACUGGGCGUAAAGCGCACGUAGGCGGAUCUUUAAGUCAGGGGUGAAAAUCCUGGAGCUCAACUCCAGAACUGCCUUUGAUACUGGGGAUCUCGAGUCCGGAAGAGGUGAGUGGAACUCCGAGUGUAGAGGUGAAAUUCGUAGAUAUUCGGAAGAACACCAGUGGCGAAGGCGGCUCACUGGUCCGGUACUGACGCUGAGGUGCGAAAGCGUGGGGAGCAAACAGG